rnacentral:rRNA from 1 species
ACGUCGCUGGCGGCCGCCUAACACCUGCAAGUCUGUAGACGCGAUGUGAGCAAGUGACUAGGAGUUGGCAGCACUGGGUGACGUAUAAUGUGAGGAAGUCUGCCUUUUGGUUCGGGAAUUAACACGGUGGAAACUUGAUGCGUAAUAUCCGGAUAUAGCCUUCACAGGGAAAGUGUUAAUGCCGAAAGAUGAGCCCGACACUUGAUAUAGACUACGUUAGGUACAUGGUGAAUGGCUAUACCUAAGGCAACGCAUUCAAGUACCCUGUAUCGUUAGAAGGAAGUACCAGCCACAUUGGGACUGACACACGGCCCAAACUCCUACGGGAGGCAGCAGUGGGGAAUCUUGCACAAUGGGGGAAACCCUGAUGCAGCGAUGCCGUCGUUGAGUGAAGAAGGCCCUUGGGUUGUAAAACUCUUUCGUCGAGGAAGAAAAUGACUGUACUCGAAUAAGAAGGUCCGGCUAACAUUCGUGCCAGCAGCCGCGGUAAUACGAAGGGACCUAGUCGUAGUUCGGAAUUACUGGCGCUUAAAGAGUUCGUAGGUGGUUAAAAAAGUUGAUGGUGAAAUCCCAAGGCUCAACCUUGGAACUGCCAUCAAAACUUUUAUAGCUAGAGUAUGAUAGAGGAAAGCGGAAUUUCUAGUGUAGAGGUGAAAUUCGUAGAUAUCAGAAAGAACACCAAGAAGCGAAGGCAGCUUUCUGGAUCAUUACUGACACUGAGGAACGAAAGCAUGGGUAGCGAAGAGGAUUAGAUACCCUCGUUACUCAU